rnacentral:lncRNA from 1 species
CAGACCACCAGAUGGACAGGCUGUGUGUUUCUCUGAUUGCAUUCUUAUGUGCUGUUUCCUCCAGUCAGGAUGGGAUCUCUGCAGCAGAGGUGGAGCUGAGAGUCAGACCAGGAGACAACAUCACUCUCUACUGUGACUGUAACAUAACUUCUGGAGUAUACAUUAUGUGGUAUAGGAACUGUUCUCACAAGUACCAGCCUCCUCUAGUUAUUUCAACUAAGUUUUUAAGUUACAUCUCUCUCCCUGGAUAUAAUGUGGUGUGGAACCCCUCUAACAUCUCCUAUGAUCUACUGAUUGAGAACAUCACUGAAUCUGACCUGGGACUCUACUACUGUGGGACUGUGAAGUACAAGAUGG